rnacentral:rRNA from 1 species
UACGUAGGGGCCGAGCGUUGUCCGGAUUCAUUGGGCGUAAAGAGCGUGUAGGCGGCCGCUUAAGUCCUGCGUGAAAUCUCGGAGCUCAACUCCGAGCGGUCGUGGGAAACUGGGCGGCUAGAGUGCGGGAGAGGAGAGUGGAAUUCCUGGUGUAGCGGUGGAAUGCGCAGAUAUCAGGAAGAACACCCGUGGCGAAGGCGGCUCUCGUAGGAACGCAACUGACGCGAUGCGACGAAGGCGUGGGAAG